rnacentral:rRNA from 1 species
AUUGAACGCUGGCGGCAUGCCUUACACAUGCAAGUCGAACGGCAGCACGGGUGCUUGCACCUGCUGGCGAGUGGCGCACGGGGGAGUAAUACAUCGGAACAUGUCCUGUAUUGGGGGAUAGCCCGGCGGAAGCCGGAUUAAUACCGCAGACGAACUACGGAUGAAAGAGGGGGACCUUCGGGCCUCGGGCUAUGGGGUUAGCCGAUGGCGGAUUAGCUCGUUGGUGGGGUAAAGGCCUACCAAGGCGACGAUCAGGAGCUGGUCUGAGAGGACGACCAGCCACACUGGGACUGAGACACGGCCCAGACUCCUACGGGAGGCAGCAGUGGGGAAUUUUGGACAAUGGGCGAAAGCCUGAUCCAGCAAUGCCGCGUGUGUGAAGAAGGCCUUCGGGUUGUAAAGCACUUUUGUCCGGAAAGAAAUCCUUGGCACUAAUACGGUCGGGGGAUGACGGUACCGGAAGAAUAAGCACCGGCUAACUACGUG